UACGUAGGGGGCUAGCGUUGUCCGGAAUCAUUGGGCGUAAAGAGCGUGUAGGCGGCCCGGUAAGUCCGCUGUAAAAGUCAAAGGCUCAACCUUUGAAUGUCAGUGGAUACUGCCGGGCUAGAGUCCGGAAGAGGCGAGUGGAACUCCUGGUGUAGCGGUGGAAUGCGCAGAUAUCAGGAAGAACACCAACAGCGAAGGCAGCUCGCUGGGACGGUACUGACGCUGAGACGCGAAAGCGUGGGGAGCGAACAGG
rnacentral:rRNA from 1 species